rnacentral:rRNA from 1 species
UGCCUAAUACAUGCAAGUCGAGCGAACGGACGAGAAGCUUGCUUCUCUGAUGUUAGCGGCGGACGGGUGAGUAACACGUGGAUAACCUACCUAUAAGACUGGGAUAACUUCGGGAAACCGGAGCUAAUACCGGAUAAUAUCUUGAACCGCAUGGUUCAAAAGUGAAAGACGGUCUUGCUGUCACUUAUAGAUGGAUCCGCGCUGCAUUAGCUAGUUGGUAAGGUAACGGCUUACCAAGGCAACGAUGCAUAGCCGACCUGAGAGGGUGAUCGGCCACACUGGAACUGAGACACGGUCCAGACUCCUACGGGAGGCAGCAGUAGGGAAUCUUCCGCAAUGGGCGAAAGCCUGACGGAGCAACGCCGCGUGAGUGAUGAAGGUCUUCGGAUCGUAAAACUCUGUUAUUAGGGAAGAACAUAUGUGUAAGUAACUGUGCACAUCUUGACGGUACCUAAUCAGAAAGCCACGGCUAACUACGUGCCAGCAGCCGCGGUAGUACGUAGGUGGCAAGCGUUAUCCGGAAUUAUUGGGCGUAAAGCGCGCGUAGGCGGUUUUUUAAGUCUGAUGUGAAAGCCCACGGCUCAACCGUGGAGGGUCAUUGGAAACUGGAAAACUUGAGUGCAGAAGAGGAAAGUGGAAUUCCAUGUGUAGCGGUGAAAUGCGCAGAGAUAUGGAGGAACACCAGUGGCGAAGGCGACUUUCUGGUCUGUAACUGACGCUGAUGUGCGAAAGCGUGGGGAUCAA